rnacentral:lncRNA from 1 species
GGGGAUUAGAUUAUAGGAUGGGGAGGGGGCGGGGGUGAUUAGGUGAAGACCCCCCAGUUCAGACUAGCCUUUCUUGUGAACUGUAUCUCUGCUUAAUUCUAUCAGGGUUCUUUCCAGCCUCCACAGGGAGCAGAAAAGGGGUGCACCCCCAGACUCUCUUAAUUUUCAGUUUUGCCCCUACCCCAACCCUCUCGGCAAUUAGCCCUGGCUAGGCGAGCAGCCGGCUUGGCCCAACAGAGCCAUGACAAGUCCAAACCCGUGCCAGGCGUGGAGCAGCGGAGCCCGAAGACCUCACACAUCCCCCCCCCCCCCACUCCCACCCCGACUGCGCUCUUUUGCUCCCUGCUCGUAGUCAGGACAUUCCGAGUCGAAAAAAAAUAAGUGCAGGGAGUGGGGAAAGAGCAGAAGACCGUGGAAGGGGAACCUACGAGUCCACUUGGCCCUGCCGCGUGCGUGCUCAGCCCCACGGACCAAGAGCCCGCAUCGCUCAAGGAGACUUUGGCCCCGGAACCUGGACCGGCAGGGUCGCUGCCCCAGACUCGCCACGAGGUAAACAAGAAGGCGGAGCUGGCGCCCAAGAAAAGAGAAAGGCGUGGGGUGGAGUGUGCAUGGGGGUGGGGGUGUUCUGUGUCACGAGGAGUGGGCGUGGGCAGUUUAGGGUCCGACUCAGCUUCAGUUUCUGGAUCCCGGUUCCUGCACCUCCGGCCCCUACUAGGAAUAGGGUCCUGGCCCCUCUCCACCCCCUCCUCAGCUCCGGACUCGGCCGCCGCGUCCGGCCCCAAGAGCGUAAUUACAGGGGCAGUGGCCAGCCUGGCCGUACAAGGGGGGUGGAUGAGAUUGCGAGGGGCUGGAGCCGAGUGGGAAAGGGAGCGGAUCAGGACGGGGUGACAGCUCGGACGCCCCGUCGUCUCGUCUCUCCCCGCAGGACACGCAGACAGGCAGGCCCACGUGCGGGCCCCACGCUGACUCGCCGCGAGCGCUCUGUCCCCGCGGGGAGCGGGAGCGAGACAGACCUGGCCCCGUGACUGUGACUGAGGCGUAAACAACCCCCCCCCCCCUCCUCCCAGAUACAGAUACGAUGGGAUUGGUUGCAAGCCCCAGGGGGAGGUAGACGCCAGACCCCAAGAGAAACACUGAUAUGAGACCACCCACAGAUAGUUCUGUGCGGUCACCCAGUUAGGUACAUGCAUGUAUGUAUGACAUCCCCAGCAAGAGAACACCAAACGGCAUUGCACCUUGGAAACGGCCAUUAACUUCUGCUCUAAUCUCAGCCGUUCUCACUCAUUCGCACGGACAUGCGCUCACAAGCUGUUAUCUUCCUCUCUCCACAUCUUUGCAUUCAUAAUCCACGUGCAUACACAUUCCCAGCAAACACAGAAUUAACACAACUGCAAGUCAAACAUUUGCACAUAAAUACACACGUAAGUGAGGACACACAAAACUACAAGCCAGAGCACCGGCAUAUACAAGCACCCUCAUCAAGUUAACAAUCACUGUGGUUGUGAGACAGCCAUACACAUUCGCACAGGAAUAUGCACAUCCCGUUCUUAGCCCAGUGGUGCGCCAUAGGUGCUUAAUAAAUGCUUAAGAUUGACACCGAAAAUGAACACACAUUCUCGUUCCUGAUCGUAAGGCGCGUACACACGUACGCACAAUUCCUGGCAUUUUAGGGAUGACACAAUCAAUCCCUUAACACAAAGCCAACAUUGACAAACCUAAGAAAAACAAACAACUUGGUGUGAAAGAAGCCAGGAGGAGCAGUGACCCGGGCAGAGUCCGGGACUGGGGGGAGGGAAAGGGAGAAAAAGAGCUAAAGAGGGAUGUGGAAAGAGGGGAAAGAGAGAAAAAGAGAUAAGGAGAGAUGUGGAAAGGAGGGAAAGGGAGAAAAAGAGCUAAGGAGGGAUUUGGAAAGGGGGAAGGGAGAAAAAGAGCUAAGGAGAGAUGUGGAAAGGAGGGAAAGGGAGAAAAAGAGCUAAGGAGGGAUGUGGAAAGGAGGGAAAGGGAGAAAAAGAGCUAAGGAGGGAUGUGUUAAGAGGGGAAAGAGAGAAAAAGAGAUAAGGAGGGAUGUGGAAAGGAGGGAAAAGAGAGAAAAAGGAGCUAAGGAGGGAUGUGGAAAGGAGGGAAAGGGAGAAAAAGAACUAAGGAGGGAAAGGGAGAAAAAGGAGCUAAGGAGGGAUGUGGAAAGGAGCAAGCCUAAAAGUUCUGGAGUUGUCAUUUAUUAUGCACCACAUCUAUGGCCAGUCCCAAAACAAAGUUGCCCAGAGACCCCAGCUUAAACAAAUCCUCCGUUUCCAGACACAAGCGAGCACACAGAUGUGUUCAAGCUCACACACAUACAUCCCUCACAAGAAAACACAAGCAUUUGCCUCUGAGAUAGUCACACACACAUCAAGAUUUAUCAGAUACAGAAACGCACAAAUACAAGAUACAAAUCCACAAAUAUUGAAACAUUCAUAGCUUCAGAGGCACACUGUGACCCCCCACAUUCCCAACACACACACACACACACACACACACACACACACACACACACACACACACACACACUCGCGCGCGCACUCGCGCGCGCCAGCUCCUCAGGUUUCUCUCUUCUCCCC